rnacentral:rRNA from 1 species
GACGAACGCUGGCGGUGUGCUUAACACAUGCAAGUCGAACGGUAAGGCCCUUUCGGGGGUACACGAGUGGCGAACGGGUGAGUAACACGUGAGUAACCUGCCCUCAUCUCUGGGAUAACAGUCGGAAACGGUUGCUAAUACUGGAUAUGAGCUUGCAAGGCAUCUUGUGGGUUGGAAAGAUUUUUUUUGGUUGGGGAUGGACUCGCAGCCUAUCAGCUUGUUGGUGAGGUAGUGGCUCACCAAGGCUUCGACGGGUAGCCGGCCUGAGAGGGCGACCGGCCACAUUGGGACUGAGAUACGGCCCAAACUCCUACGGGAGGCAGCAGUGGGGAAUAUUGCACAAUGGACGGAAGUCUGAUGCAGCAACGCCGCGUGCGGGAUGACGGCCUUCGGGUUGUAAACCGCUUUCAAUUGUGACGAAGCUUUUUUGUGACGGUAGCAGUAGAAGAAGCACCGGCUAACUACGUG